CUUCAUGAGAUGCCUUCGCCAAGGUCCGACUGGAUGGCACGUCGACCUUACGCUCGUGGGUGGCUCGGAUGACGAAGCGGCCGGCGCCAAGCGGUGACGACGAGAGCGACGC
rnacentral:ncRNA from 2 species